GAAGCGAAGCAGUGAUGUGAAGCAAAUCGCACCAAAGCCAGUCCCAGUUCGGAUAAGAGGCUGAAACUCGCCUCUUUGAAGUCGGAAUCGCUAGUAAUCGCAGAUCAGCAUGUUGCGGUGAAUACGUUCCCGGGUCUUGUACACACCGCCCGUCAAACCAUGAGAGUCACCAACACCCGAAGUCCGCCUUGGCGGCCUAAGGUGGGGGAGAUGAUUGGGGUUAAGUCGUAACAAGGUAUC
rnacentral:rRNA from 1 species